rnacentral:rRNA from 1 species
UACGAAGGUGGCAAGCGUUACUCGGAAUUACUAGGCGUAAAGGGCAGGUAGGUGGUUCGGUAAGUCUGUUGUGUAAGCUCCUGGCUUAACUGGGAGAGGUCAACGGAAACUACCGGGCUUGAGUAUAGGAGAGGUUACUGGAAUUCCCGGUGUAGCGGUGAAAUGCGCAGAGAUCGGGAGGAACACCAAUGGCGAAAGCAGGUAACUGGACUAUUACUGACACUAAGCUGCGAAAGCUAGGGGAGCAAACAGG